rnacentral:pre_miRNA from 1 species
UUGGGGGAAAAUAGUGGUCCAUUAAGUUGGGGAAAAAGACAUCAUCCCUUGAGAUAAAAUUAGGUUUGUUUCCUUUUACUCCCAAAAUCUUUUUACCGUGGGUAAAAGAAUCAAUAUGGGGGCAUAAAAGGAACUAAAUUUAAAUUUAACUCAAUGGGUCUUGAUGUUGUUUUCCCAACAGGACGGAUCACUAUUUUUCCCAAG